GCUCUGCUGGCGCAAUGGUAGCGCGCAAGACUUCUAAUCAUCUCUUCGAUGAACCGAUAUCUUGAGGCUGUGGGUUCGAGCCCCACGUGGAGCU
rnacentral:tRNA from 1 species